rnacentral:rRNA from 1 species
CCUACGGGAGGCAGCAGUGAGGAAUAUUGGUCAAUGGACGCGAGUCUGAACCAGCCAAGUAGCGUGAAGGAUGACUGCCCUCUGGGUUGUAAACUUCUUUUAUAUGGGAAUAAAAUGUUCCUCGUGUGGGUUUUUGUAUGUACCAUAUGAAUAAGGAUCGGCUAACUCCGUGCCAGCAGCCGCGGUAAUACGGAGGAUCCGAGCGUUAUCUGGAUUUAUUGGGUUUAAAGGGAGCGUAGGUGGAUUGUUAAGUCAGUUGUGAAAGUUUGCGGCUCAACCGUAAAAUUGCAGUUGAAACUGGCAGUCUUGAGUACAGUAGAGGUGGGCGGAAUUCGUGGUGUAGCGGUGAAAUGCUUAGAUAUCACGAAGAACUCCGAUUGCGAAGGCAACUCACUGGACUGCAACUGACACUGAGGCUCGAAAGUGUGGGUAUCAAACAGGAUUAGAUACCCUAGUAGUC